UUAAUCGGAGAUGAAAGCCUCUCAGAUUUGUCUGCUCUGGCUGGCUUCGAGUGAAACGCAAUCCUCAGAUCUCAGCCUCCUGAAUAGUUAGGAUUACUAGCUACUAGGUAGGCAGGUAGGUAUGAGUCACUCACUCGUACCUGGCCCCAUGCAAUAUUUUCUCAGUUUUCCUCACUGUCUUGUGACCUCCUAUUCACACUUACUAUGCUAUCAAUGUUUGUCAGGGCAUCUGAUCUCUCACAUGACCACACUUUCCUAUUAUAAAGAAAAAUAGAACAUUGCACUUGAACUCACUCUUCCAUUUUAGGAUUAAUAUGUUUCUAGCUUUUUACUAUCAAAUGCUGUAGCAGUUACCCUUUGUCCAUCUUUCCACACAUUCAAUGAUUUUCUUGAAGAAAGGUUCCUUAAAGUUGAAUUUUUGGGCCAAAAAGUAAGCAUACUAAUAGAGUGUGUAAUUUAGAAAUUUUCUUUCCUUAAAAUUUUGCAAGUUUAAAUUAUCAUCACUAGUGUGGAUCUGUUAAACUAAUUGUGCUUUUCUUAGGUGGACUCUUCAAAUUCAAAAUAUUAAUAUCACCUAAAAUGAUAUACUGUAUUAUUUUAAUCUUUAAAUUG